AUUGAACGCUGGCGGCAGGCCUAACACAUGCAAGUCGAGCGGAUGAGGGUAGCUUGCUACCUGAUUCAGCGGCGGACGGGUGAGUAAUGCCUAGGAAUCUGCCCGAUAGUGGGGGACAACGUUUCGAAAGGAACGCUAAUACCGCAUACGUCCUACGGGAGAAAGUGGGGGAUCUUCGGACCUCACGCUAUCGGAUGAGCCUAGGUCGGAUUAGCUAGUUGGUGAGGUAAUGGCUCACCAAGGCUACGAUCCGUAACUGGUCUGAGAGGAUGAUCAGUCACACUGGAACUGAGACACGGUCCAGACUCCUACGGGAGGCAGCAGUGGGGAAUAUUGGACAAUGGGCGAAAGCCUGAUCCAGCCAUGCCGCGUGUGUGAAGAAGGUCUUCGGAUUGUAAAGCACUUUAAGUUGGGAGGAAGGGCUGUAGGCUAAUAUCCUGCAGUUUUGACGUUACCAACAGAAUAAGCACCGGCUAACUUCGUGCCAGCCGCCGCCGCAG
rnacentral:rRNA from 1 species